rnacentral:rRNA from 1 species
CACGUAGGGUGCGAGCGUUGUCCGGAAUUAUUGGGCGUAAAGAGCUCGUAGGCGGUGUGUCGCGUCGGCCGUGAAAACUUGCAGCUUAACUGUGGCGUGCGGUCGAUACGGGCAUCACUGGAGUUCGGCAGGGGAGACUGGAAUUCCUGGUGUAGCGGUGAAAUGCGCAGAUAUCAGGAGGAACACCGGUGGCGAAGGCGGGUCUCUGGGCCGAUACUGACGCUGAGGAGCGAAAGCGUGGGGAGCGAACAGG